CAGGGAGAAGGCGGCCAUCUGCAAACCAAGGAAAACAGGCUUCAGGAGAAACACACCUUGAUCUUGGACUUCCAGCCUCCAAAACUUGAACACGGUACAACUUUCACGAGGACUGAGUUAACACCGAGAAUGCAUGUGACAUGGACAACCUGGUGCCUCACUUUUUGUCACAAACAGAACUUUCCUGAGAAGGCACUGCCACUGAUUUUGUUGACCAUCUGCACCACACCUAUCACGCUGCCUCGGCUGACGAUGGGCAUGCACAGGAUGUUCCG